ACGAGUUAGGGUCCACUCGGCCCGACCUCCCAACCCUUUGUUUACCAAACCUGUGUUGCUUCGGCGUGCCCGUCUAUGGACCGCCGGGGGACCGUCACACGUCCUCUGGCCCGCGCCCGCCGAAUGCCUACCACAAAACUCUUGCCAUGAAUCGUGUCAUUGUCUGAGUAAAACAUUUAAUUAAAAGCA
rnacentral:misc_RNA from 1 species